rnacentral:rRNA from 1 species
UAACCUGCCCAUCAGAAGGGGAUAACACUUGGAAACAGGUGCUAAUACCGUAUAACAAUCGAAACCGCAAGGUUUUGAUUUGAAAGGCGCUUUCGGGUGUCGCUGAUGGAUGGACCCGCGGUGCAUUAGCUAGUUGGGGAGGUAACGGCUCACCAAGGCGACGAUGCAUAGCCGACCUGAGAGGGUGAUCGGCCACAUUGGGACUGAGACACGGCCCAAACUCCUACGGGAGGCAGCAGUAGGGAAUCUUCGGCAAUGGACGAAAGUCUGACCGAGCAACGCCGCGUGAGUGAAGAAGGUUUUCGGAUCGUAAAACUCUGUUGUUAGAGAAGAACAGGGAUGAGAGUAACUGUUCAUCCCUUGACGGUAUCUAACCAGAAAGCCACGGCUAACUACGUGCCAGCAGCCGCGGUAACACCUAGGUGGCAAGCGUUGUCCGGAGUUAUUGGGCGUAAA